AAAGCAACUCUUCUUCUUCUUCUUCAUCUUCUUCAUCAUCAUCAAGUUGAUAAAUGAACUUCUUCUUCUUCUUCUUCUUCUUCAUCAUCAUUAUCAUCAUCAAGUUGCUAAAUGAACCUUUUCUUCUUCAUCAUCAUCAAGUUGCUAAAAGAAAUAGUAACUAUUAUGAUUUCUGAGUGAACAGGCCGGUUGUGAACAAGCUUCUGGAAGAUAUCUGCAUUAUGCCUGGGAUCGACUGCUCUGACUUAUUAACAGUUAUAACUGGUAUUUAGGCUUGUUCAUUAAAACCUGAACACACAAAAGUUUAGUAGUUAACCAAUACUGAUUGACCACCCAACAUGUUUUAGGCCCGAAUUGCUGCCUCAAUUCAUCCAGGACAAAAAUAUUUCUUGAUUAUGUACCUCAAUCAACAGCAACCAAGAACAUGAUCCACCUGGCACAGAGUAAGUGUUUCUAAAUUCUUGAUUGGCUAACUCUUUUUUCAGAAAAACAAAUCAAGAAAAAUCUUUGAACAACAAAAGCAACCAUUAUGGUUUUGCAUAACAAUUAGGAAAUUAUGUCAAACAUUCUUUUUUAUGAAUGGAAGGAAAUGGGAUAACUUAUUCGAGCAAAAUCUAAAUAGAAAAAUGCUGAACUUUAGAGUUUGCUUUAUUCAUUACAUUCUGGUUCUGUGUUCUAUGUAGUGAUUAGGACGGGAACGAUAGCAAUGUAUGAUUAUGGUAAUGAAAAUGACAACAUGGAUCAUUACGGGCAACCUACUCCUCCAGUGUAUAACAUGACCAGCAUCCCUAAUGACCUUCCUCUUUUUAUUGGCUAUGGAGGGAAGGACUAUCUCACUGAUGUGAGGGAUGUACAAGUUCUACUAGACAACCUCAAAGAUCAUGAUGGCGACAAGCUGGUGGUACAAUACACCGAUGAAUAUGCUCAUGCAGAUUUUGUUUUAGGAGUGAAUGCUAAUCAGAUUGUCUAUGAUCCUGUAAUAGCCUUCUUUAAGAUCAACUGAUCUAUCUAAGAACUCUGUUUGUGGACAAUAACAGGAUUUGUUUAUGUCUGCUUUUCCAUGUAGAUAGGCCUAUAAUAUCCAUGUUUACUGCAAAUAUUCAAUCUCAUGAUUGAAUGUAAAGGUCAUGUACUGCUUAAAUAGUUUUGAUUUCCUUGGUUAACAUCAUUGCACUCUCCUAUCUUGUAUAUUUUGGAUUCAUCGACAAAUCAAGCCUAUAUACCCAAGUUUGCUUGAUUAUGUGAAGUUUGAGAAUAAGCCCAAGUUUGCAGUAAGAAUAACGUUGAACCAUAGGGCUAUUGGUAAGUUAAGUAUGCAUUGUAUGCCAAUACGUACACGUAUGUGUUUUGUGCAUGGAAGUCUAAUAUUGUUGAAAGUCGAUAUUUUUAUUUAAAUCCUUUGAGAUUUGUGAAAGACAUUAUUAAAUGUCUAUUUAGAUGUAAGUGAUCUGUGAAUGAAAGUGUGUGUGUGUGUGAGCUUGCAAGUAAGAGUCUUUGUUUUCCUUGUUUUCUUCCAACAAAAUUGGUAUUACAUCUUAAGUGUAAUCAUGGCUUCCAGCAAUAACAAUACUCAUAUUCAUAUUUCCCACCUCAUAAAACAAAACUAUAAUUAAUGGUGCAUGUAGUAAAAGGCAUGCACUUUUGAGAUCACAAGAAUUAUGGGAUUUGGUUGAAGAAGGUUACGAAGAACCAGAGUCGACAAGAAAAGAGGCAGCGAUGAAAAACACAGAAGAUGGGCUCUAUGAGAAUCUAGAAAGAAGGAUAAUAAAGCCCCAUUUACAAUCUAUCAAAGGCUUGAUGAAACAACACUUGAAAUGGUGGCUUCUAGCAAAAACUUCAAAGGAAGCAUGAACAAUUUUGAACAAGACUUACAGUGGAUUUGAAAGAGCAAAAAGGUAUGACUGCAAGCCCUAAAAUGAGAUUUUGAAAAGCUGAACAAAAUAAUGAGACAGUUUUAGAUUACUUUACAGAAGUAAUUUCUUUGGUGAAGGAAUUGAGAAAACAUUGAUGAUAUUAAUUUGAUGAAGAAGAUUUUGAGGUCUACGGACUCAGAAUUUGAUCAUGUUAUGGUAGCAAUUCAAAAUUCAAAAGAUUUGGAAAAUUUUACAGUAGAAGAACCGAUGAGAUCUUUGCAAGCCAAUGAGUAGAAAAUUAAAAGAAGAGAGAAGGGAGAUCACUAGAACAAGCUUUACAAACAAAAGCUAAAUGUGGAGUAAUUCUAAAUCCAGUAAGGGACCAUUUCAAAGAGGUAGAUCUUUCUACCAAAGAGAAAGAUCUUUCAAAAAUCAAGAAAAUUAUGGAGCAAGAAAUCAAAGUUUAACUUUUAGAGGAAGUAGAGUCAAAAAUCAUGAUGGAUAUUCAAAUUCGAGGACUAAUAAUGUGAAUGCUCAAUGUUACAAUUACAAGGAAUAUGGUCAUCAUGCUUCAAAUUAUUCUCAAAACAAGCACGAAGACAAAAAAGUUAAUUUUACAUAAAAAAAACUUGAUUCUACAAACCAACCCUGUUACUGGCUUAUGAAAAAAUUAAUUCCAAUAAUUAUGGCACUUGACAUCUAGACAUCGAAGCAUUUAAUCACAACAUGGAAUGAUAAAAGUGUUGUUUGAACUGGAUGAAAUUUAAGAGCAACUCAACCUCUUGAUUUGGUGCAUUUAAAUGUGUUCCGUCAAUUAAUGACAACAUGUAUUUUUUUUCUUUUACAUAAGAAAGAGUUGAGUAAAUUUAAGAUGUUUAAAAACUUAAUAGAAAAAAAAAGUAAAUAUAAAUUGAAAUGUCUAAGAACAGAUAAAAAUAAUGAGUACACAUCAUAUGCAUUUAAUGAGUAUUAUAGAUAAAAUAACAUAGUAAAUCAAUUAAUUAUGCCUAAAAAAAUCUUAACAGAACAAAAUGUUUGAAAGAAAGAAUAGAAUCAUUCAUAACACACUUAUGUGUAUAUUAAAAGAGAGAGAAUAUUCUAAAGAAUUUUCAUUGGAAACCUAUUGUUAGCAAGUUCUCGUUGAGAAUUGUUAUUUCAUUGGCAUUUUUGUCAGUAUUUGUAUCGCUGAUAGAAAUGUCGAUGAAUUAUUUGUGCUAAAAAAUCAAAAUUUACCUUAUAUUUUUCAUUGGCAAGUGCAUCGGAAAUUAAUUUUUGAUAUAGUUUUUUGUCAUAUAUUCCAUCAAAAAUUCCAAAACCUUCUACAAAUUUCUGUCGGUAAUUAUAUUAGUGUUUUCAUUAUUGUUUUAAGUUUGAUUAUUAUAAUUAUCUAUGCAACCUAAAUAUACAACAACAACAACACCAACACCUGUGAAAUUAUUGAAACAAUAAAUACAUCUCCAAAAAAACAUAAAAGUUCAUCUAACAAAUAUAAAUAUAAUACAUUAUAAAACACCAACAAAUAUCUUACAUAAUUUCGAUUUUAUUACACAAUGAAACAUCCCAUCUAAAUUAAUUCAAUGACACCAACAAUAUUUUUAAUCAAACAUAGCUAACAAUAAAGGUUACUAGAUAUCUCGAAAAUCUAAGACAUGAAACAUUGAUUUAAUUGGAUUUAAUAAAUUUAAUAAUAUGGUUUUAAAAAAGAUAUUGAUAGUAAAUAUAGUGAAAAAAAAAAUAAUUAACUAAAAAUGAGUUGUCAAUAUCAAAUUUGGAUCAAAAGAAAAAAAAAGAUAAAAUAUUUGGAAUUUAUCACUAAAAAAUCACAACAUUACAUAUAAGACAAUUAAGUGAUUUUAGUUUGGCCCAUUUUGUGAUCAAUCUAAAUCUGAUAAAAUACAAUAUUUCAUGUUACUUGAUUUUCAAAGAUAAUUUGAGAAAAAAGAAAAAAAGAAAAAAAAAGAAAGAAUCUGUUGGGAUGACCACAAAAAUUUAGAAUUUAUCGCCAAAAAAUCACAACAUUACACAUAAGACAACAAACUAUCUAAAAUAUAUGUAAUAGGUUUACAAUCAACGUAAUGCUUAUAAGAAAUUAUAUUAAUACGACAAGUUUUUGGAAAUAAUUAUAGGAUUAAUCAAUGUUUAAAGACAAAUUAUUAGUUAUUUAUAAUAUAUAAUUCGUUCACUCACAUAAAAAUAUAACUCACCAUGAUAUUCUAGUUUUCCUGUCAUCCCUCUAUAAACAUUUGAAUAUUCAAACCCCUUGUAAAGUGUGUUCACAAUAUUGCUUGCGGCACAAAGUGAUUUGUCAAAAUCAUGGCUGGCCCUUAAUUUGUCAGCACACAUCCAUGGAAAUGUACAAGAACAACCUUUAUUUGUCAGCACACAUCCAUGGAAGUGACAGACGCAAGUGAUUUUUUUUUUUUUUGUAGUUAAAGUAUUAAAAUAUCGUAUAAUUUGAUAAGAUUUAAUAAUAUAUGCAUUGAUGAUGGUAGUAUAUAAAAGGAAGUAGAUUUAGUAAAAUUUAAAAGCAGAAAAGUGUAAUUGCUGUAGUUUGCAACUAAAUUUUAAAUGGCCGGGACUUUAGCCACUCAAAUUCUAGGGAUCCUAUUCUAUUUAUCGGCAGCUGCGGCCGCUGCUGGAACCAAGGUUUAUUCCUUCAAUAGUCAGAAUAGCACAUCUGUGUCAUCCCUGAAUGCCAAUGAUGGUAUUUGCAAAUCGGUGGUGGAGCCACUAGGAUACGCCUGCCAAGAACAUACGGUACAGGAGGCUAAUCCUUGCCACUAGCUCGGAGUCAUCUUGCUUUAGAAACUUGAGCCCGUUUUUGGAUUAUUGCAGGUAACAACAAAAGAUGGUUAUAUUCUUAGCCUUCAGAGAAUGCCUUCUGGGUUGUCCGGUCAGGCAGCAGACAAGCCGCCGGUUCUGCUACAACAUGGGCUAAUUGUGGUACGUAGUAGCUAGCUAGCUAAUUCUUCAUUGAUCUCUAAUGUUUAUAGCUGCGAUUUAAAUGAAAACGAAAAAAAACAUUAACGGAUUGACGGCAGGAUGGUGUAACGUGGCUGAUGAGUCUUCCCGAUGAAUCUUUAGCAUUCAUAUUGGCGGAUAAUGGUUAUGAUGUAUGGAUUUCCAACGGUCGGGGGACUAGAUUUAGCCGGGGCCAUGCAUCAAUCGAUCCCUAUGAUUCGGUACUUCUGAGUCUAUAUAUUUUCCUUCAUUAUGUGACCUUGAAUCUUUUUUUUUAACAAUCGAACAUUUUAUCUUGUUUCAUGGCAGGCUUAUUGGGAUUGGACCUGGGAUGAGUUAGCUGCCUAUGAUCUUCCUGCUACAUUUCAGUACGUGCAUGACCAGACAGGGCAGAACCUUCACUAUGUUGGGCAUUCCCAGGUGGAUAUUGCACUGUGUUGCUUUCACUGUUUUUUCUGGUUCCUGGGACGUUCAUAUCUAUUGUUCUAGAAUUUUGUUCUGCAUAUAUAUAGCUGAGGCUAAGACAAUCUUUGACUUCAUUUCAGGGAACUUUGAUUGCUUUGGCUGCCUUUUCUCAAGGAAAGUUGUUGAACAUGUUAAGAUCGGCUGUUUUGCUCUGUCCAAUAGCUUAUCUUAACCAUUUGACAUCACCGUUUGCAAGAGGUCUUGUCGAUUUAUUUUUAGCUGAGGUAAAACCAAAUGAAUGGAUCUGCCUUGCUCAAAAAAAUGAAUUUCCAAAUUUAAAUUUAAAGGAAAAGAAUUCCCUUACCUUUUUACUUAGCAUUCUGUCUCAUUAUUGCACAGGACUUGUACUGGUUAGGACAACAUGAAUUUUCUCUUCAUGGGUGAGAAAGCAACUCUUCUUCUUCUUCAUCAACAUAAUCAUUAUCAUCAUCAAGUUGCUAAAUGAACCUUUUCUUCAUCAUCAUCAUCAAGUUGCUAAAAGAAAUAGUAACUAUUAUGAUUUCUUAGUGAACAGGCCGGUUGUGAACAAGCUUCUGGAAGAUAUCUGCAUUAUGCCUGGGAUCGACUGCUCUGACUUAUUAACAGCUAUAACUGGUAUUUAGGCUUGUUCAUUAAAACCUGAACACACAAAAGUUUAGUAGUUAACCAAUACUGAUUGACCACCCAACAUGUUUUAGGCCCGAAUUGCUGCCUCAAUUCAUCUAGGACAAAAAUAUUUCUUGAUCAAUCAACAGCAACCAAGAACAUACUCCACCUGGCACAGAGUAAGUGUUUCUAAAUUCUUGAUUGGCUAACUCUUUUUUCAGAAAAACAAAUCAAGAAAAAUCUUUGAACAACAAAAACAACCAUUAUGGUUUUGCAUAACAAUUAGGAAAUUAUGUCAAACAUUCUUUUUUAUGAAUGGAAGGAAAUGGGAUAACUUAUUCGAGCAAAAUCUAAACAGAAAAAUGCUGAACUUUAGAAGUUUGCUUUAUUCAUUACAUUCUGGUUCUGUGUUCUAUGCAGUGAU
rnacentral:lncRNA from 1 species